GAUGAACGCUGGCGGCGUGCCUAAUACAUGCAAGUCGAGCGAACAGACGCGGAGCUUGCUCCUCUGACGUUAGCGGCGGACGUGUGAGUAACACGUGGAUAACCUACCUAUAAGACUGGGAUAACUUCGGGAAACCGGCGCUAAUACCGGAUAAUAUAUUGAACCGCAUGGUUCAAUAGUGAAAGACGGUUUUGCUGUCACUUCUAGAUGGAUCCGCGCCGCAUUAGCUAGUUGGUAAGGUAACGGCUUACCAAGGCGACGAGGCGUAGCCGACUUGAGAGAGUGAUAGGCCACACUGGAACGUGAACGCGGUCCAGACGCCUACGGGAGGCAGCAGUAGGGAAUCGUCCGCAAUGGGCGAAAGCCUUGCGGAGCAGCGCCGAGUGAGAGAUGGAGGUCUUCGGAUCGUAAAACUCUGUUAUGAGGGAAGAACAAAUGUGUAAGUAACUAUGCACGUCUUGACGGUACCUAAUCAGAAAGCCACGGCUAACUACGUG
rnacentral:rRNA from 1 species